AAAAUCAGUAUGGCGCGAAUCGUUGCGCGCGGCGCUCGGGGUUUAAAAAAACAACUGUCAAUGUCAAAAUGAGCUAUAGUGUCUAUGAUUGCGGAUUCGAUUUUCAAAAAGUGAACGACAAAGAGUGCUUUGAUGGAAUGAAAAAGGAAAAGAAUGACAGUGAGGCAAAGGAAGAACACAUUCAGCAUGUGCUAGGACCCAGUAGGCGGUGCUUAGCGUGGGCUUGCAAAGCCUGCAAAAGGAAAACUGCGGCCGUGGACAGAAGAAAAGCGGCGACGUUGCGCGAAAGGCGGAGAUUACGAAAAGUAAACGCAGCAUUCGAAGAGCUCCGGAUACGGGCUCGCGCCGGCAGCGGGCGGCUGCCCAAGCUGGAGAUCCUCCGCGCCGCCAUACAACACAUAGAGAGACUGCAAGCUGCCCUCAGAGCUGCCGCCGCGGUACGUGCUAGCUAUAGAUACGAGCGCGCGCCGGCAGCGGGCGGCUGCCCAAGCUGGAGAUCCUCCGCGCCGCCAUACAACACAUAGAGAGACUGCAAGCUGCCCUCAGAGCUGCCGCCGCGUUGGAGUCUGACAGUUGCAAGAGCUACGUGGAGCCGCCGCCGACAAAACCGCAGAGCGACUUGCGAGACACAAGGACAGACAGAGAGAAACCAUUUGUGAACGGUGAAUCUACGUCCUGUGGACUCAACAGUCUAGCUCGCUUGCGGUGUAUAGUGCAAGCAUUGGCGAAGGACGCCCCCUAGCUCGCUGUAGCUACCUAGAUAGAUCUCACAAUUUAGGUUACUCGUGCUCAAUUAUAAUUAAUAUUUAUUUAUAA